rnacentral:rRNA from 1 species
CAGUCGCCGCGGUAAUACGAAGGGUGCAAGCGUUACUCGGAAUUACUGGGCGUAAAGCGUGCGUAGGUGGUGGUUUAAGUCCGUUGUGAAAGCCCUGGGCUCAACCUGGGAAUUGCAGUGGAUACUGGGUCACUAGAGUGUGGUAGAGGAUAGUGGAAUUUCCGGUGUAGCAGUGAAAUGCGUAGAGAUCGGAAGGAACGUCUGUGGCGAAGGCGACUAUCUGGGCCAACACUGACACUGAGGCACGAAAGCGUGGGGAGCAAACAGGAUUAGAUACCCCCGUAGUCCCUGUCUCUUAUAA